AAGCAUCUCACCCCAGAUGUCAUUCCCAUUAAUUUCCCAAAAUUACCAUGAGUACUGAACCUAGAGGAGUUAAGCUUAAUUGUCUUUGUUCUUCAUUCCCAUGAUCUAUUCUUUCUUCUCUUCCUGCUCACACACUGGGUUGAUGUUCUCCAGGUGAAGCCAUUGCAACCACAGGGCUCUCUGAACUGGGCUGUCAGCACGACGGAGCUGCAGAUGCUAAAAUAUCUCUACUGCAUAUUUUCAGAGGAUGUGAGCUCGGCCAUGCUCUCAACCAUAACAGCCAAGCUGCAGGAGCAGCAGUCUCCCAGCUCUCAUGAUCAUGCAACUCAAACCCUGGUUCUGAGCACCCACACCAGAGAUCUAACCAGCUUAUGCACCUUUUCCAGCUGUCCACACAAAUACCUUCUCAUGUCUGUGGGGGAAGGAGAAAAGGGAGGAGAGGAAAGGAAGGAAGACAGGGAAGAGGACUGUCUCCAGCUUUCAUCUCAAAAUGGAGAUAGGACACAGCCUUGGAAUGCACCUUGAAUUUGCAGCCAGCACAGCAAGCAAGCACAUGUGGCCAUGUGGAUUGUGUUUAGGACUCCAAAGAAGCCUCUUUUUGAACCACUUCUGUGGUAAAUAUAUGUGAUUAAUUUCCAGAUCAAGUAUUUUAAUUGCAAGAGAAGGAACAGGAUGCAGAAUGGAAAUAUCUAAAUGAACAUGCACAGGUUUUUGAGGAAUCCCUGAUAUGUUUCAUCUGUGAUGGCUUAAAACAAUCUCAGCACUGCCAUGGUCCUAACAUGGUCAAGCAUGAAAAUGCACAUCUGCUUCACUCAUUUUUUUCAACUUUAUUGUGGUUUCUUUGCUUUUUGCUUUGUUUGCUACAACAUAAUGAUUUUAAUUUUCCUGUGUGGCUUUCCAUAAUUUUUUUAAAUACAUGCUUAUUAAAUUAAUAUUAUUGCCCUUGAAUUUACUGUAAAAAGAUAUACGUACAUGGAUAAUAUAAAUUUGUACUUUCCAUCAUCCAAAUCUUUCAAUUUUUAGUUGAAUUGAUAUAUUACUUACAAUCCUCCAAGAAUGCUUUCAAAGAUCAUGUCUCCCAGGAAGAAGCCUGAAAACUGCAGAUACUUCCUAUUUAUAUCCUUUUUCAACAACCAUUUUUUCCAGUGGAAUUGGGCUGAUGAGGAAACAAUGUCAUUAGCUCUCUUGUGCAAAUCUUUGCUAGAAGUGAAGCUUCCUUCUUAGUUGGUGUUCCCCCACUUCUCCAAAUAGUCACUGCAUAUGGUUAGAGAACAAGAAAUGGAUUCCUCUGAAGUGUAAGAAUAUUUCACACGUAGCUCAAAAAAAAAAAAAACUCCCAUCUGCUUGGAGCUUCCACUAUAGCCCAAUUCUCAACAAAUUACCUCAUUAUGUGUUGGACAUAAGUUAAACUCUAUGACUACUUUCACAGCUGCUGGGAAUCAUUGAUGAGUUUUGCAAUAUAACAGCCUUGUAAAUUCAGUGUAGCUGAGCUCUAGCUAAUGAAUUCAGAGUUUCUGACUCCAAAACAACAGGAGGGCAAAAAAUAAGGUCAAUUUACUAAAAAUCCACAGAAGUUGCUGUCACUACUACCCUGUCAGUCCAUUUCCCUUUCUAUUUAAAAUAGGGUUUUACUUUUCAGCCUUAGGAGAUGUCUUCCUGGGCUUUUGUGGUGCCUUGGCCUUUGGUGAUUAGGGAAAUAAUCAUCUUGUAAAGUGCUGGAGACAAGGAAGAUAUUUAAAUGGUGAUUUCCUUCUUUGUUUACCUCUGCAAAAAAGCUGAGGAACCAGACAGCUGAGGGAAACAUUUUGCAAGCUUUUCAAAUUUACAGAGUAAAUUCAACAGAGUUGCAAUGAAUGUUGUCACAGAGUUUUGUAUUCAUGCUUGAUUCUUUACCAAAUUAGCUCUUCUGUGAGUAAAUAUAUCUUUCUCAGUUGCACUUCUCAGUCUAUGUCCUGAAUGUAACAAAACUGAUGGAGUAUGUUCCAAAUAUGCAAACCAAUUAGCCUACAUGGCUUCAACAAAAUCUCAGUCAAAUAAGUGGUAUCCAGCUUAAGGAAUCAGAUAUUAAAUCCAGUUUAUAUAAUUUUCUUUGCAACAUUGUGUACCAACUAUAAAAUCAUACAUUAUUUUAUGAACAGUUACAUCAUUAAUCUUGUAUGCUGCAGUGGAAAUUUGUAGAAAGCUGAAAGCAUAUUUGAAAACAAAACAAUGCAAUGAAAAGAAAAGAAAACCAGCACUCUUACCAACAUAAUCUCUAAUUUUCGAUUUGCAAUCUUUUCACAUCUGAUUUAUUUAGUUACUGAAUUAAGAUUUGAAGAAAAAAACGCACACAUUUUAAAAUCAUUAAGUAAUAAUAACAUUUUCAUGGUAUUUUUUCAAAAUAAUAAUAAUAAUAAUAAUAAUAAUAAUAAUAAUAAUAAUAAUAAUAAUAAUAAUAAUAAUAAUAAUAAUAAUAAGCACACAAUCUAUGCAUCAUGACAAUGUCAUCAAAGUUUGAAAAAUUAUGUGUAGAUUAUAUAUAUACAUACAUGGAAAAAGAUAAAAGAAACAUACUAUAUCAAUAGGCAAGUAUACUGAUGUGUAUUGUUUAUAUAUAUUUGGGAGAAAAGAAGGCUAUAAAAUGCAAACAUUUAAUCUAUUUUGACUUUAGUUUUUGCAGAUCCCCAAAACAUUAUACACAGAUCUUUUUGGUAAUAACACAAGCUUGGAUUUUCCUUCCAAAUUCUUCAUAGGGCUUUUAACUGAAAAUCUCUGUUCCAGAAGAAUGCAGCCUCUCUCUUCAAACUAAAUAUUUUGAUAGGUUUGUUGUUAGUUUGAAUAACUCUUGCUACUUUUUGAAUAUUGUGCUAUCAUUCAAUAUUUGUCUAAUUUCAGUGUUACUUUUACAAUUACAAUAUAUUAUGAAAAACAUAUGAAGGCUUCAUUUUUUUCUUCUUUUUUUUUUUUUUUAAAUAAACAGUCAGCAUGACAUUCA
rnacentral:lncRNA from 1 species